rnacentral:rRNA from 1 species
AUUGAACGCUGGCGGCAGGCCUAACACAUGCAAGUCGAACGAGCGGCGGACAGGUGAGUAAUGUCUGGGAAACUGCCCGAUGGAGGGGGAUAACUACUUGAAACGGUAGCUAAUACCGCAUACCAUCAUAUUUACCCAGAUGGGAUUCGCUGGUUGGUGGGGUAAAGGCUCACCAAGGCGACGAUCCCUAGCUGGUCUGAGAGGAUGACCAGCCACACUGGAACUGAGACACGGUCCAGACUCCUACGGGAGGCAGCAGUGGGGAAUAUUGCACAAUGGGCGCAAGACUGAUACAGCCAUGCCGCGUGUAUGAAGAAGGCCUUCGGGUUGUAAAGUACUUUCAGCGGGGAGGCGUUACCCGCAGAAGAAGCACCGGCUAACUCCGUGCCAGCAGCCGCGGUAAUUC